AAGCCAUGGUCCUCGGAGGCUGGUUCGGGGAGAGGAACCAAGCAGAGGGGGCCAUGUUGUGAUGGAGGGGACAGGGAGCCCACAACUGGCAGCCGGAGGACCUGGGUCCCAGCUCCGAAUGCACCUUCACUCUUUGUCCUGUAAGGGGCCAACCACAUGCCCUCCUGGGCUCUCAAGUUCCUCACCUGUAGAAUGGGGGAUAUACUAAGACCUGCCUCACAGGGGUGUUAUGAGGGUGAAACGAAAUCAUCCUGGCAGUGCUCAGCGUGACAAAUGCUCACUUAAUGGCACAGUAAGGGGCAGUAAGUAAGUAGCAGGCCCAACCUGGACUGUUGUACGGUUUGCGCACUCUACAAGGUGCCAGGCCGAGGUAGUGAAGGGGCCUGACAUCCAGCCACAACCACCGGUGGCAGCAUCCCCCGACAGGGAGCCCUGGGAAGCAACCCCUCAUGGGGGUUCCCCAGCAUGAACUUCCGGGAGUCCAACGGAGCACCCAGGAGUCCUGACAACCCUGGAAAGCAAGACAGAGCCAGAGGCGACCAGAGGCUACGGGGACCCCAGAGAGGGAGAUCCCUGAGCUCAGCCUUCCCUGGAAAGGCGAGAAAAGCCAGACUAGGAAAUCCACGACACGCAUCGAGGCGACACCGCAGCUGAGACGAGGGGGGCCGAAGAAGCCGAAGAGCUGGGGGGUGGGGCGGAGCUCAGCAGGUGUGUGGGCGGGAGCACCCCUGGCUCUUGCCCCUCCUCCUCCGUUCCCCCCCGCUUAAGCGACGUCCGCCGAGCCCGCCUGAGAAUCGCUGGUUGAACACCGCCCCCUGCCGGCCGCAAGCCGCGCCGUCUCCCUUCUCUCUCGAGCGGAGCUGCCACCAAACUGGGAGAGAGGUCCGCCCGCCCGGACGGGGGACAAAAGACACAUCCAGGCUGCGCUACAGGACCUAUCAGAUUAGACGCACAGCAGCCCCUGUGGAUCAUCCUGUUUCCCGCCACCUCACGAGCACUCGAUACCAACUUCUAGAUUUUGCUGCUGCUGAAGCUGUGGCGAUAGGUAUUCGUUUCCUGUUUGGAUUGAUUGUCGGAGAUUUUCCAAUUGGUUGUAUGAUCUCUAGGACUAUAGGAUUGUAGGAUUGGUAGGAUCAUGGAUAGUUAAGGCUUUCGGCGUGCAGACAUUUCUAUUUGAUCACAUUUAUAACCUUGUCUUCUAUGAUUUCUGUAUUUGGGGCCUUGGACAUCCCCGCUUCAAAAGCAGAAAAGAAAGAAAGAAAGGAAAAACUCGAUUGUGGCUGUCGACCAAGAGGAGAGGCUAGAAAGCAACCAAAUGCAUUUAUUUGGGGCCUUCGGGAUUGUAAUCCCCAAGGGACAAGGCAUGGCGUUGACCAAAAUUGGAAGUGUCCUCCCCAAUUUUGAGAGGGGAGUGCAGGCUUAUAAAGGUUCAAAAGCCACAAGGUUACAAAACUUGUUUUAAAAGAAUUGUGAUUGGUGCUACAGAGUUUGAAUUCCCUAACGCGAUGGGCGGCUCAGCUAACAGGCGUUACAUCCUCUUUAUUUCCGUCCAAAUUAGAAGGAUGUGUUCCAGGAGGUGGUCCAGGUAGAACGGACAGGUUGCAAAUGACAAAAAUCAAGAGUUUGUGGUGUUCCAAGAGUUGAAACGGGAGAAGCCAGAGGCCCUGCUUCCUCAGUAUCUUCCCCACCCUAUUGUAAAUGACUCAACAAUGUUCACUUCACUUAGGCAUCUUCUUCCACACUUUUCUUCUUUUCUUUAAGUUUAUUUAUUUCGAGAGAGAGACAGCGGGGGAGGAGCAGAGAGAGAAGGAGAAAGAGAAUCCAAAGGAGGCUCCAAACUAUCCGCGCAAAGCCCAGCACGGGGCUCGAUCAUACGAACCGUGAGAUCACGACCUGAGCCAAAAUCAAGAGUCGGAUGCUUAACCGACUGAGCCACCCAGGCGCCCCUUUCUUCUAAUACUUAUAUUAUUAUUCCUUUAGUUGUGUUGUUGUUUACCUUUAGCUGCAUUUCAUUAGAUACAAGAAAUGAGGUAGAACUCCAAGCUUACAUUUUCCAAACAGCUACCUGGUUAUCUUAAUACCAUUUAUUGAAUAAUCUGUCUUUUUCAUUGUUCAAAGAACAAUUUUAUUUUUUCAUUUGCAAUAUAGUUAUAUAUUAUUUCCUUUCCUUUUUUUUUUGAGUUUCGAGAGUUCUUUAUAUAAUCUAAUACAAGGCCGUUAUCAAAUACGCAGCAUGCAAAUAUUUCCCCCUAGUCUGUGACUUGUCUUUUCUCUUCUCAACAGUGUCUUUUCAGGAGCGCCUGGGUAACUCAGUUGGUUAAGCACCUGACUCUUUUUUUUUCCUUUUUUUGAGAGAGAGAGAGGGGGGGCGCAAGUGAGUGAGGGGCAGAGAGAGAGAGAGAGAGAGAGAAGCGGGUCUCAUCCAAAGGGGGGCUUGAGCUCACUCCAUGUGGGACUCAAACUCACGAACUGAGCUGUGAGGUCAUGACCUGAUCCGAAGUCAGAUGCUUAACCACUCAGCCACCCGGGCACCCCUGACUCUUGAUCUCAGCUCAGGUCUUGAUCUCGGGGUCAUGAGUUCAAGCCCUACGUUAGGCUGAGCGCGGAGCCUCCUUAAAAAAACAAACAAGGGGUGCCUGGGUGGCUCAGUUAGUUAAGCAACCAACUCUUGGUUUCCGCUCGGGUCGUGAUCUUGGUGUUCGUGGGAUCGAACUCUGUGUCCCGCCCCACACUGACAGCACGGAGCCUGCUUGGGAUUCUCUCUCCCACUCCCUCUCUGCCCCACUCCCAUGCUCGCUCACUCUGUCUCUCUCAAAAAUAAAUAAACUUGAAAAAAUUUUAAAACA
rnacentral:lncRNA from 1 species